rnacentral:rRNA from 1 species
UACGGAGGGUGCAAGCGUUAUCCGGAUUCACUGGGUUUAAAGGGUGCGUAGGCGGGCAGGUAAGUCAGUGGUGAAAUCUCCGAGCUUAACUCGGAAACUGCCGUUGAUACUACUUGUCUUGAAUAUUGUGGAGGUAAGCGGAAUAUGUCAUGUAGCGGUGAAAUGCUUAGAUAUGACAUAGAACACCAAUUGCGAAGGCAGCUUACUACAGGAAUAUUGACACUGAUGCACGAAAGCGUGGGGAUCAAACAGG